AAUCAAGAAUUACAGGACAGUGAAUGUUUUUGUGGCUGCCUUCGGUUGAUUUUUGGUUUUUCGGUCUGGGGGAAGCGAAAUACUAUCUUCCGGAAGGAACUUUCACGAAUCUGUCGGUUGCGGCCGGAAAGUGCAAGAUUUCGGUUCCUCCAGACCGGAAAAUCAAGAAUUACAGGACAGUGAAUGUUUUUGUGGCCGCCUCCGGUUGAUUUCUUGGUUUUUCGGUCUGGGGGAAGCGAAAUACUAUCUUCCGGAAGCAAAUUUCACGAAUCUGUCGGUUGCGGCCGGAAAGUGCAAGAUUUCGGUUCCCCCAAACCGGAAAAUAAAGAAUUACAGGCCAGUGAAUGUUUUUGUGGCCGCCUUCGGUUGAUUUCUUGGUUCUUCCCCCAAACCCGAGAACCAAGAAUAUAACUGAAUCCGGCCACCAAAGUGUCCACCGGCCAUGAAUUCUUCGUAAUACGGUUUGGGGAAAAGGGAAUCUUGAGUUUCGCGAUCUUGGCCGGCAGAUUUUAAAGGGUCCUUACCGGAAGGUACAAUUCCGCUUUUCCCAAACCAGGGAAUUAAGAAUUUUACCGGAACCGGUUACACAAAUGUCCACCGGCCACGAAUUUCUCCUUAUCCAGUUAGGGGAAGCAGAAUCUUGCGUUUCCUGAUCUUGGACAGUAGAUUUCUAAGAAUCCUUGCCGCAAGGUACAAUUCCGCUUCCCCCAAACCGAUGAACCAAGAAUUUAACCGAAUCCUGCCUCCAAAGUGUUCACCGACCACGAAUUUUUCGUAAUCCGGUUUGGUGGAAAGGGACACUUGCGUUUCGCGAUCUUGGCCGACAGAUUUUUAAGAACCCUUUCCGGAAGGUACAAUUCCGCUUUCCCCAAACCGGGGAACUAAGAAUUUUACCGGAACCGGUUACAAAAGUAUCCACCGGUCACGAAUUCUUCAUUAUCCGGUUUGGGGAAAGCGAAAUUGUACCUUCCGGAAAGGGUUCUUAAAUAUCUGUCGGCCAAGAUUGGAAACGCGAGCUUCCGCUUCCCCUAAACCGGAUUACGUAAAAUUUGAGGCUGGUGGACACUUUAGUGACCGGUUCCGGUUAAUUUCAGUUCUUCGAUUUGGGGGAAAGUGGAUAAGGCAAGCGCAAGAUACCGCUUCCCCCAAACCAGAUAACCAAGACUUUUCGGACAUGAUCGGAUUCGGUUGAAUUAUUGGUCCUCCGGUUGGAAUUCUUAUUUCUGUCAGGAGUAUUCAGGAGAUCGAUUUUUAAAAUAUAACUAACAUAUUCUUUUUCUUAUUUCAUCAGACGACCCGGUCCAGAUCUAUUGAUGUCAAUCGUACAGGUGAACUUAGCACGUUCGCAAUUCAACCCAGACGCUUGCUGCUGGUGUAACCCGAGGAUGCGGAAACGGUGUUCUUACGGCAGAUGGUUUGCGAGAAGCAGGCGACCGAGCAGUGUUUGAACCGGAAUUAAAAACCGGCGAGUAAGACGAAGAGGACAUUGAGAACAAAAAACAAGGAGCCCGAAGACGAGGAUCAAGAGCAGCUACCAGAAACUUAGAACCAGAGAGAGGAGACAAACGCGAAAGCGACGAAUACGACGAAGAACCAUUCCGGAAGUUGCUCGUCCCGCUCGCGAUUCAGGGUUGGCUCCAAACGCAGCAGCUGAUCUGGGAGUCUGGUAGCUUGGUAAGUACCCAUCAAACAUUCUCAACCAUCAACCACUCAUCUUCAUUUUAUUCGUAGCGGAACCUUCCCGGAAUGUCUACCAUGUACUGACCGAAUAAUCAACAAAUGAUGUUCAACGGAAGUGCCAACUCCUGCAUAGAUGAAGGCCCUGGCACAGUAGGUGGCCUUGAGUCUGGUGAGCACUCUGGUGGAAUUCAUCCACCGAAGAUCCAGGAACAGGUUCCGGUAACGGUGGUUGUCGCGGUCACUCCACCUCAACCAAUAUCGACAAGUAGCCUCUCUCUUCUUCAUGAAGGGUGCUGACGUGCUGUCGCAAUCACUUGCGCACCCGCAACCCCACUCAACCUAGUUGACUCAUGGACGAUCCGUGCAACUCCGGUUCCGGAGAAUGAUGCUUCCAAACGCGCCGCCACUCUAACAUCCCCGAAUCGAACGUCACCGCAAAUAACAGGAUGCCCAACUCCAAUGAAACAAAGUCGAUGAACAGUGCGCAGCAGCAAAAGCAACAGAUCACGAACGCAAUGAAAAACUUUUUAAUUCGUACGCUAGCAGAAUUAGGACACAGAAUACGAUGCUGGAGCAGACGUCGGAGUAGUCGAGCUUCGAUGCAGCUAGCCGUGGACAGGAUUUCAGCAGGGCAAACCGAAGGUCGCCCAGUCGCUUGUGGAGAUCAACAGUGGCAGAGCCGACGAAUUCUGUGAUUGUUCGCAACCAUUACGUGAAGCGUUCCGAAGCGAACCGAACCGGAUGUUGAUUGUCCUGCUGAUGGCGCUAAUCACCUUGUUUCAUAAGCCGCCAGUUGUGCCAGCUAGCGCAGCAGCCACUCCGUAAGACGCUUUCGGCCAUGCUUCAGUUCACGCUGUCAUUCCAGGUCGAGUUUAUUAUUUGGAUUUGUUCCUCGAUCUGCUCGCAGGCCCCAAACCGGGAAAAAAAUGUUCGGCUGAACGAUUCCUGCGUAACCUCCGUGACCUAAAGUACAAAAAUGUACAAACUUGACUAUUCUGCCGAACCGACGGCACCGCGGCGUGAUCCUGGACGAGCUGCUGACCAUGAAGUGAAGACCGACAUUCGCGACGUUCCGGAGAUGGUUCCACCGUUUGUAUCUACGACGACAACUGGACCAUAAGGCAGUCCGCUGCCGAAGAGCGUGUACAGCGAGCAGCAGGUUGAACAGACUUUCCGGUGGCUCGAAUUGAUUUGAAUUAAAUUUAUUGUGAAUAUAUAAUUUGGAAAUAAAUAAACUUGUUUUUCAAUCUAAUAGUUCAAUCGAAAUUUAAUUUCUCUUAAUAAGAAUCCCAAAUAAAAUCUGAAAACGCCCAAAUAUAGGCAAUAGGCAAUUUUCACCCGGUGAAACAUUUCAAUUUCGAUUUUACACGAAAUCCAGUUCGACCCCUGUUACACGAAAGUAUGUAAUCGUACCUGAACUGAAUUUCGUGUAAUCGAAC